GAUCAAGCUACAAAGAGCACAUGAUGGAUGCCUUGGUGCCAAAAGGCGAUGAAGGACGUGAUAAGCUGCGAUAAGGCACGGAUAGCGGCAAAUACGCUUUGACCCGUGCAUCUCCGAAUGGGGUAACCCAGUGGAAUUAACCUUCCAUUACCGCUGAGUGAAUCAAUAGCUCAGCGUGAGCAAUACCUGGUGAAGUGAAACAUCUCAGUAACCAGAGGAAAAGAAAGCGAAGCGAUUCCGUAAGUAGUGGCGAGCGAAAGCGGAACAGCCCAAACCACGGGUUUACUCGUGGUGUUGUAGGGCCCCGAUGUGGCAGUGCAACGAUUAGAUGAAGCGACUGGAAAAUCGCUCCAUAGAGGGUGAGAGGCCCGUAAUCGAAAAUCCGAGCACGCCUAGGGAGUCCCUGAGUAACGCGAUGCAAGUGAAGCUUCGCGUGAAUCCACGCCGACCACGGCGUAAGGCUAAAUACUAAUUGGCGACCGAUAGUGAACAAGUACCGCGAGGGAAAGGUGAAAAGAACCGCUGUGAGCGGAGUGAAAUAGUCCCUGAAAUCAUGUGCUUACAAGGUGUCAAAGCCCGCAAGGGUGAUGGCGUGCCUUUUGCUUAAUGAGUCUGCGAGUUAUUGUCAGUGGCGAGCCUAAGCCCUUCUGGGGUGGAGGCGAAGCGAAAGCGAGUCCGAAAUGGGCGCCCAUAGUCGCUGGCAGUAGACCCGAAGCCGAGGUGAUCUACCCAUGGCCAGGUUGAAGCGCUGGUAAUACAGCGUGAAGGACCGAACCCGUGAACAUUGAAAAGUUCUGGGAUGAGCUGUGGGUAGGAGCGAAAGACUAAUCAAACCCGGUGAUAGCUGGUUCUCCCCGAAAUAGCUUGAGGGCUAGCCUAGGAUGCUGACUUGUGGAGGUAGAGCACUGGAUGAACUAGAGCCCAUACCAGGGUAUCGAAUUCAAUCAAACUCCGAAUGCCACAGGGAGAAGUCCUGGAGUCAGUGCGCGAGGGAUAAGCUUCGUGCGCGAGAGGCAAACAUGCCAGACCAGCAGCUAAGGUGCCCAAAUACCGUUCAGUGGAAAGGAUGUGAAGAUACUUAGACAAUGAGGAUGUUGGCUUAGAGGCAGCCAUCAUUUAAACAGUGCGUAAUAGCUGACUCAUCGAGUGUUUUCGCGCCGAAAAUGAUUGGCGAUAAGCGGUAUACCGAAGCUCUGGAAUUGAGGAGAAUUCGUUUUCCUUGAUUGGUAGGGGAGCGUUGUAGCGACGCAGAAGCGGGAGCGGAAGCAACCGUGGAGUUUCUACAAGUGAGAAUGCAGACAUGAGUAGCGAUAAGCCAGGUUAGAUUCCUGGCCGCCGUAAACCCAAGGUUUCCUGUGCAAGGUUCGUCCUCACAGGGUUAGUCGGGACCUAAGUCGAGGCCGGUAGGCGUAGACGAUGGACAGCUGGUUUAAUAUUCCAGCACCGGCUUUGGUUAAAGCGAAGGUGACGUGGGUGCGGAGAAGGGCAGUCGAUUGAAAGUGACUGUCGCGCAAGCGGACGUUGAGGCUACGGCCAAGACGGAUCCUUUAAAGCAAACACCGAG
rnacentral:rRNA from 1 species